AAAUUUUACAUCAACUUGCUUAGAUUACCUGCUGCAAGUAACUAUCGCUCGCGCGACUAUAGUUCCAUCGUUCGUAGCGUCAGUGCGCAUGUCGCAUAACAUCUUUUUCUAACGCGAUGCGGAACGUAUCUCGCUUUAUCACUCGUCUUGGUUUAAUCUUAAGCUUUCAGUUACGCAAGGCUACCGUAAAAAUUGCCAAUUCUCAGACAGAUUACGUCUAAACUGUUCGAAGAUCGCCGUUACUAUCACAGUUUUUGUUAUUAUAUCGUUUUGCAGUUACUCUCUUUUCUAAUCAAUUGUUAUCAUUUAUUAAUAAAAAUUCAUCUUUCAAAUCUUUGCUCACUCUGAGCUACAUUUCUGCACGACUUCUUUCGAUUUCUUUUCAUUGCAAGACAGGGCGUUCUACUUCAACUUCUCAUAGAUUUAGAUAUAUAAAUUAUCACCAAUUUGAGGCGUGAUUUAGAAUUAAUAAUUGCAAAUGAUAUUAAUAAUUUACAAUGAUAACAAUUUUAAUCAGUUAUAAUUAUAAAAAUAUGCUUGUGAGAUAUACCCGACAACAUUACUUCAAAGUUUCUCGAACUAUAGUACAUAUCUAAAGGAAGAUUUCCUCGUUUUAACUUUCAGAGGAUCACUACACUGCAACUACUUGGAUAGCAUUGACUUGAUACGAACGAAUAACGUGUAACCAGUUUGUUUCCAACCUAUUAACUCGCAUAGACGAAACAAUUUGUCAUGUCGGUUAUGAAUAUUUUUCAAAUAAUAAUUUAUUUUUUUAAGGAUUAUUUCUUUUUGAACGAGUCUACUUAUGCGUAUAUUU
rnacentral:misc_RNA from 1 species